rnacentral:sRNA from 112 species
UGCAUCUGAAGCCUGACGAGGAUGAGAACCUCCGGGGGCAAGAGGUUCGACUCGAGCGCAGCGAGAGAACGUUGCGUCAGCAACGGCCCGCAGGGCGAGCCACGCAGUGGCGAGUCAUCCUCUAUCACCGACCA